rnacentral:rRNA from 1 species
UACGUAGGGGGCGAGCGUUGUCCGAAGUUACUGGGCGUAAAGCGCGCGUAGGCGGUCUCUUAAGUCUGGGGUGAAAGGUUCAGCGCUCAACGUGAACAGUGCCUUGGAUACUGGGAGACUUGAGUGAGGGAGAGGGAAGCGGAAUUCCAGGUGUAGCGGUGAAAUGCGUAGAUAUAUGGAGGAACACCGGUGGCGAAGGCGGCUUCCUGGCCUAUCACUGACGCUGAGGCGCGAAAGCGUGGGGAGCGAACGGG